UGAAUAAUUCAGUGUGAAAGAGUAUAUAAUCAGCUUCCUGUCUCCACGUCUUCAUUCCGACAUCUCCAGAGGUAAAGCAGAUCGCUGAAACCCCGAAAACUUCUACACCAUGAAGCUGUUUGUCAGUAUGCUGCUUGUGACGAUGGUUGUCACCGCAAUGCUGAUUGAUGACUCCGCUGGGCAUCGGAGACGGCGGAGCUCGAGGCGCCGCUGGGUAGAUGGCCAGGCGGCCGUGAUGGAGGUUGUGGAAGAGGCGAGGGAGCUCCUGGACGAUCUGGCUGAUCUGCAGGAGGACGCGAAGGCUGAGCAGAUGAUGGAGCUGGAGGAUCUUGGUCAGGAGAAGGAUGAUUAUGCCCGCAGGAGACGCUAACUCCUACCGCUAACAGCCUACCGGACAACCUGAAGACCGGAGGUUUCAGUGGCACCAAAAGGCCAGGAUCAAACUUUAGGUUUAUGUAAAGCAAUGGUUUUGUAAUGAUCCUUAUGAACAUUGAGUUGUAUUAUCUGCGUUCAUAUUGAGUGUUCGCUGUCGAAUUUCGCUUAUUUCUUCCAAUUUGUAAUAUCACCUGCCUAAUUCAUAAGACAAAAUAUAAAAUAGUAUAAUAUAAACAGUUUCCGAUCCUGGAAUGGAUAGCAAGAAUACUGUGUGCUCGGUGGUUAUUCAAUAAAACCUAAUGGGAAAAAACA